rnacentral:lncRNA from 1 species
CACCUAAGUACCAUUUUUAAAAUGUGGUAAGAUACAUAUAACAGGAAUGUCACCAUUUUAACCAUUUUUAAGUGUACAAUAUAGUGGCUUCAAUUACAUUCAUGAUGUUGUGCAACCCUUACCACUAUCUGUUUCCAAAUCUUCACCCCAAACAGAAACUCUGUACCCAUUAAGCAACAAUUUCUCAUUCCUCCUUACCAC